rnacentral:rRNA from 1 species
AUACGUAUGGGGCGAGCGUUAUCCGGAUUCACUGGGUGUAAAGGGAGCGUAGACGGCAUGUCAAGCCAGAUGUGAAAACCCGAGGCUCAACUUCGGGCCUGCAUUUGGAACUGAUGAGCUGGAGUACCGGAGGGGCAGGCGGAAUUCCUGGUGUAGCGGUGAAAUGCGUAGAUAUCAGGAGGAACACCGGUGGCGAAGGCGGCCUGCUGGACGUGUACGGACGUUGAUGCUCGAAAGCGUGGGGAGCAAACAGGAUUAGAUACCCUGGUAGUCCACGCCGUAAACGAUGUCUACUAGCCGUUGGGGGAUUUGAUCCUUUAGUGGCGCAGCUAACGCGAUAAGUAGACCGCCUGGGGAGUACGGUCGCAAGACUAAAACUCAAAGGAAUUGACGGGG